CAGGACUUGACAUCUACCUAAUCCUUUAGAGAUAGAGGAGUGCCUUUCGGGGAAAGGUAAGACAGGUGGUGCAUGGUUGUCGUCAGCUCGUGUCGUGAGAUGUUGGGUUAAGUCCCGCAACGAGCGCAACCCUUGUCAUUAGUUGCUACCAUUAAGUUGAGCACUCUAAUGAGACUGCCGGGGACAGCUCGGAGGAAGGUGGGGAUGACGUCAAAUCAUCAUGCCCCUUAUGUCCUGGGCUACACACGUGCUACAAUGGCUGUAACAAAGUGACGCAAUAUCGCGAGGUGGAGCAAAUCACUAAAAACAGUCCCAGUUCGGAUUGAUGGCUGAAACUCGCCAUCAUGAAGCCGGAGUUGCUAGUAAUCGCGAAUCAGCAUGUCGCGGUGAAUACGUUCC
rnacentral:rRNA from 1 species